rnacentral:tRNA from 2 species
GGGCCCCUAGCUCAAGUGGCAGAGCAUGCGGCUCAUAACCGCAGGGUUCUAGGUUCGAGUCCUGGGGGGCCCA